UAGCACCAUUUGAAAUCAGUGUU
rnacentral:ncRNA from 46 species